GACGAACGCUGGCGGCGUGCCUAAUACAUGCAAGUUGAGCGCUGAAGGUUGGUACUUGUACCAACUGGAUGAGCAGCGAACGGGUGAGUAACGCGUGGGGAAUCUGCCUUUGAGCGGGGGACAACAUUUGGAAACGAAUGCUAAUACCGCAUAAAAACUUUAAACACAAGUUUUAAGUUUGAAAGAUGCAAUUGCAUCACUCAAAGAUGAUCCCGCGUUGUAUUAGCUAGUUGGUGAGGUAAAGGCUCACCAAGGCGAUGAUACAUAGCCGACCUGAGAGGGUGAUCAGCCACAUUGGGACUGAGACAAGGCCCAAACUCCUACGGGAGGCAGCAGUAGGGAAUCUUCGGCAAGGGACGAAAGUCUGACCGAGCAACGCCGCGUGAGUGAAGAAGGUUUUCGGAUCGUAAAACUCUGUUGGUAGAGAAGAACGUUGGUGAGAGUGGAAAGCUCAUCAAGUGACGGUAACUACCCAGAAAGGGACGGCUAACUACGUG
rnacentral:rRNA from 1 species